rnacentral:rRNA from 1 species
AUCUACGGCCUUACCACCCUGAACACACCUGAUCUUGUCUGAUCUCGGAAGCUGGCAGGAUUGGGCCUGGUUAGUACUUGGAUGGGAGAAAUGCAUUGGUAAGGGCCACCAGCAUCCUUGAUU